UACGUAGGGUGCGAGCGUUAAUCGGAAUUACUGGGCGUAAAGCGUGCGCAGGCGGCUUUGCAAGACAGAUGUGAAAUCCCCGGGCUUAACCUGGGAACUGCAUUUGUGACUGCAUGGCUGGAGUGCGGCAGAGGGGGAUGGAAUUCCGCGUGUAGCAGUGAAAUGCGUAGAUAUGCGGAGGAACACCGAUGGCGAAGGCAAUCCCCUGGGCCAACACUGACGCUCAUGCACGAAAGCGUGGGGAGCAAACAGG
rnacentral:rRNA from 1 species